GACGAACGCUGGCGGCGUGCUUAACACAUGCAAGUCGAACGGAAAGGCCCUGCUUUUGUGGGGUGCUCGAGUGGCGAACGGGUGAGUAACACGUGAGUAACCUGCCCUUGACUUUGGGAUAACUUCAGGAAACUGGGGCUAAUACCGGAUAGGAGCUCCUGCUGCAUGGGGGGGGUUGGAAAGUUUCGGCGGUUGGGGAUGGGCUCGCGGCUUAUCAGCUGGUUGGUGGGGUAGUGGCUUACCACGGCUUUGACGGGUAGCCGGCCUGAGAGGGUGACCGGCCGCAUUGGGACUGCGAUACGGCCCAGACUCCUACGGGAGGCAGCAGUGGGGAAUAUUGCACAACGGGCGGAAGCCUGAUGCAGCAACGCCGCGUGCGGGAUGACGGCCUUCGGGUUGUAAACCGCUUUCGCCUGUGACGAAGCGUGAGUGACGGUAAUGGGUAAAGAAGCACCGGCUAACUACGUG
rnacentral:rRNA from 1 species